rnacentral:rRNA from 1 species
AAGCGUUUAUGACCAGACUUUUUCCUAGUGGAUCAUCCGGUGUUCUCACCGGUGCACUUCGCUAGGUUGAGGCCAGCAUCGGUUUCCGUAGGGGGAUAAAAGCUUUAGGAAUGUGGCUCUUCGGAGUGUUAUAGCCCUCGGUGCAAUGCCGCCUACCUGGACCGAGGACCGCGCUUCGGCUAGGAUGCUGGCGUAAUGGU